UCAAGUGAAGAAGCGCAUACGGUGGAUGCCUUGGCAGUCAGAGGCGAUGAAAGACGUGGUAGCCUGCGAAAAGCUUCGGGGAGUCGGCAAACAGACUUUGAUCCGGAGAUGUCUGAAUGGGGGAACCCAGCCAUCAUAAGAUGGUUACCUUACACUGAAUACAUAGGUGUAAGGGGCGAACCAGGGGAACUGAAACAUCUAAGUACCCUGAGGAAAAGAAAUCAACCGAGAUUCCCUUAGUAGUGGCGAGCGAACGGGGACUAGCCCUUAAGUGGCUUUGAGAUUAGCGGAACGCUCUGGAAAGUGCGGCCAUAGUGGGUGAUAGCCCUGUACGCGAAAAUCUCUUAGUCAUGAAAUCGAGUAGGACGGAGCACGAGAAACUUUGUCUGAAUAUGGGGGGACCAUCCUCCAAGGCUAAAUACUACUGACUGACCGAUAGUGAACUAGUACCGUGAGGGAAAGGCGAAAAGAACCCCGGAGAGGGGAGUGAAAUAGAUCCUGAAACCGUAUGCGUACAAGCAGUGGGAGCCUACUUUGUUAGGUGACUGCGUACCUUUUGUAUAAUGGGUCAGCGACUUAUUUUCAGUGGCGAGCUUAACCGAAUAGGGGAGGCGUAGCGAAAGCGAGUCUUAAUAGGGCGUCUAGUCGCUGGGAAUAGACCCGAAACCGGGCGAUCUAUCCAUGGGCAGGUUGAAGGUUGGGUAACACUAACUGGAGGACCGAACCGACUACCGUUGAAAAGUUAGCGGAUGACCUGUGGAUCGGAGUGAAAGGCUAAUCAAGCUCGGAGAUAGCUGGUUCUCCUCGAAAGCUAUUUAGGUAGCGCCUCAUGUAUCACUGUAGGGGGUAGAGCACUGUUUCGGCUAGGGGGUCAUCCCGACUUACCAAACCGAUGCAAACUCCGAAUACCUACAAGUGCCGAGCAUGGGAGACACACGGCGGGUGCUAACGUCCGUCGUGAAAAGGGAAACAACCCAGACCGUCAGCUAAGGUCCCAAAGUUAUGGUUAAGUGGGAAACGAUGUGGGAAGGCUUAGACAGCUAGGAGGUUGGCUUAGAAGCAGCCACCCUUUAAAGAAAGCGUAAUAGCUCACUAGUCGAGUCGGCCUGCGCGGAAGAUGUAACGGGGCUCAAACCAUACACCGAAGCUACGGGUAUCACGUAAGUGAUGCGGUAGAGGAGCGUUCUGUAAGCCUGUGAAGGUGAGUUGAGAAGCUUGCUGGAGGUAUCAGAAGUGCGAAUGCUGACAUGAGUAACGAUAAUGGGUGUGAAAAACACCCACGCCGAAAGACCAAGGUUUCCUGCGCAACGUUAAUCGACGCAGGGUUAGUCGGUCCCUAAGGCGAGGCUGAAAAGCGUAGUCGAUGGAAAACAGGUUAAUAUUCCUGUACUUCUGGUUAUUGCGAUGGAGGGACGGAGAAGGCUAGGCCAGCUUGGCGUUGGUUGUCCAAGUUUAAGGUGGUAGGCUGGAAUCUUAGGUAAAUCCGGGAUUCUAAGGCCGAGAGCUGAUGACGAGUUAUCUUUUAGAUGACGAAGUGGUUGAUGCCAUGCUUCCAAGAAAAGCUUCUAAGCUUCAGGUAACCAGGAACCGUACCCCAAACCGACACAGGUGGUUGGGUAGAGAAUACCAAGGCGCUUGAGAGAACUCGGGUGAAGGAACUAGGCAAAAUGGCACCGUAACUUCGGGAGAAGGUGCGCCGGUGAGGGUGAAGGACUUGCUCCGUAAGCCAUGCCGGUCGAAGAUACCAGGCCGCUGCGACUGUUUAUUAAAAACACAGCACUCUGCAAACACGAAAGUGGACGUAUAGGGUGUGACGCCUGCCCGGUGCCGGAAGGUUAAUUGAUGGGGUUAGCUAACGCGAAGCUCUUGAUCGAAGCCCCGGUAAACGGCGGCCGUAACUAUAACGGUCCUAAGGUAGCGAAAUUCCUUGUCGGGUAAGUUCCGACCUGCACGAAUGGCGUAACGAUGGCGGCGCUGUCUCCACCCGAGACUCAGUGAAAUUGAAAUCGCUGUGAAGAUGCAGUGUAUCCGCGGCUAGACGGAAAGACCCCGUGAACCUUUACUAUAGCUUUGCACUGGACUUUGAAUUUGCUUGUGUAGGAUAGGUGGGAGGCUUUGAAGCGUGGACGCCAGUUCGCGUGGAGCCAACCUUGAAAUACCACCCUGGCAACUUUGAGGUUCUAACUCAGGUCCGUUAUCCGGAUCGAGGACAGUGUAUGGUGGGUAGUUUGACUGGGGCGGUCUCCUCCUAAAGAGUAACGGAGGAGUACGAAGGUGCGCUCAGACCGGUCGGAAAUCGGUCGUAGAGUAUAAAGGCAAAAGCGCGCUUGACUGCGAGACAGACACGUCGAGCAGGUACGAAAGUAGGUCUUAGUGAUCCGGUGGUUCUGUAUGGAAGGGCCAUCGCUCAACGGAUAAAAGGUACUCCGGGGAUAACAGGCUGAUACCGCCCAAGAGUUCAUAUCGACGGCGGUGUUUGGCACCUCGAUGUCGGCUCAUCACAUCCUGGGGCUGAAGCCGGUCCCAAGGGUAUGGCUGUUCGCCAUUUAAAGUGGUACGCGAGCUGGGUUUAGAACGUCGUGAGACAGUUCGGUCCCUAUCUGCCGUGGACGUUUGAGAUUUGAGAGGGGCUGCUCCUAGUACGAGAGGACCGGAGUGGACGAACCUCUGGUGUUCCGGUUGUCACGCCAGUGGCAUUGCCGGGUAGCUAUGUUCGGAAUAGAUAACCGCUGAAAGCAUCUAAGCGGGAAACUAGCCUCAAGAUGAGAUCUCACUGGACCUUGAGUCCCCUGAAGGGCCGUCGAAGACUACGACGUUGAUAGGUUGGGUGUGUAAGCGCUGUGAGGCGUUGAGCUAACCAAUACUAAUUGCCCGUGAGGCUUGACCAU
rnacentral:rRNA from 2 species